rnacentral:rRNA from 1 species
UACGGAGGGUGCGAGCGUUAUUCGGAUUUACUGGGCGUAAAGCGCAUGUAGGCGGUUCGGCAAGUCUGAUGUGAAAGCCCACGACUUAAUCGUGGACGUGCAUUGGAUACUGCCAGACUGGAGUACUGGAGAGGAGAGCGGAAUUCCUGGUGUAGAGGUGAAAUUCGUAGAUAUCAGGAGGAACAACAGAGGCGAAGGCGGCUCUCUGGACAGUAACUGACGCUGAGGUGCGAAAGCGUGGGGAGCAAACAGG